rnacentral:rRNA from 1 species
GAAUCUUGCACAAUGGGGGAAACCCUGAUGCAGCGACGCCGCGUGAACGAUGAAGCCCUUCGGGGUGUCAAGUUCUUUCGACAGGAACGAUAAUGACGGUACCUGGAGAAGAAGCUGCGGCUAACUACGUGCCAGCAGCAGCGGUAAUACGUAGGCAGCGAGCGUUGUUCGGAGUUACUGGGCGUAAAGAGUGCGUAGGCGGCGAGCCAAGUUUGGUGUGAAAUCUCCCGGCUUAACCGGGAGGGUGCGCCGAAAACUGGUUGGCUGGAGUAUGGGAGAGGAAAGCGGAAUACCUGGUGUAGCGGUGAAAUGCGUAGAUAUCAGGAGGAACACCUGCGGUGUAGACAGCUUUCUGGACCAAAACUGACGCUGAGGCACGAAAGCGUGGGUAGCA